rnacentral:lncRNA from 1 species
CUAACCUUUGAGUGUCUGCCGUGUGCCAGUCAUGGGGGACAACUGGUCCUCAUCUGGCAACACGUGACUAACCUCUCCAAAGUAGGACGCCAAGUUGCACAGCAUCAAGGGGCCAUUCACAGUGAAGUCUUGGAGGGGCCUCCCUGGAGUUCUGGGUCCUUAGCCUGGGCAGCCCCAGCCAGCAGCCCUGCCCCCAUCGCUGGUCUUGACCUCCUCCUGGGCGCUGGCUCCCGGGAGGGGAGAGGAGGGAAGUGCUUCUACCUCUGCCACACCUCAGUCUUCUUCACUGCUGGGGAUUCAACUGACUUCAAUUCAGUGAACCAAUUAAUUUAAUCAACUUUAACUCAGUUAAUAAAUUCAGUUAUCAAU